CUAAUACAUGCAAGUCGAGCGAAUCGAUGGGAGCUUGCUCCCUGAGAUUAGCGGCGGACGGGUGAGUAACACGUGGGCAACCUGCCUAUAAGACUGGGAUAACUUCGGGAAACCGGAGCUAAUACCGGAUACGUUCUUUUCUCGCAUGAGAGAAGAUGGAAAGACGGUUUACGCUGUCACUUAUAGAUGGGCCCGCGGCGCAUUAGCUAGUUGGUGAGGUAAUGGCUCACCAAGGCGACGAUGCGUAGCCGACCUGAGAGGGUGAUCGGCCACACUGGGACUGAGACACGGCCCAGACUCCUACGGGAGGCAGCAGUAGGGAAUCUUCCGCAAUGGACGAAAGUCUGACGGAGCAACGCCGCGUGAACGAAGAAGGCCUUCGGGUCGUAAAGUUCUGUUGUUAGGGAAGAACAAGUACCAGAGUAACUGCUGGUACCUUGACGGUACCUAACCAGAAAGCCACGGCUAACUACGUGCCAGCAGCCGCGGUAAUACGUAGGUGGCAAGCGUUGUCCGGAAUUAUUGGGCGUAAAGCGCGCGCAGGUGGUUCCUUAAGUCUGAUGUGAAAGCCCACGGCUCAACCGUGGAGGGUCAUUGGAAACUGGGGAACUUGAGUGCAGAAGAGGAAAGUGGAAUUCCAAGUGUAGCGGUGAAAUGCGUAGAGAUUUGGAGGAACACCAGUGGCGAAGGCGAC
rnacentral:rRNA from 1 species